UACGUAGGGUGCAAGCGUUGAUCCGGAAUUAUUGGGCGUAAAGAGCUCGUAGGCGGUUUGUCGCGUCUGCUGUGAAAACCUGGAGGCUCAACCUCCGGCCUGCAGUGGGUACGGGCAGACUAGAGUGCGGUAGGGGAGAUUGGAAUCCUGGUGUAGCGGUGGAAUGCGCAGAUAUCAGGAGGAACACCAAUGGCGAAGGCAGAUCUCUGGGCCGGUAACUGACGGCUGAGGAGCGAAAGCAUGGGGGAGCGA
rnacentral:rRNA from 1 species